rnacentral:rRNA from 1 species
AACGAACGUUAGCGGCGCGCCUAACACAUGCAAGUCGCACGAGAAAGGGCUUCGGCCCCGGUACAGUGGCGCACGGGUGAGUAACACGUGGGUAAUCUGCCUUCGAGCGGGGGAGUAACAUUCCGAAAGGAGUGCUAUACCGCAUAAGACCACGCCUCCGAAAGGAGAAGCGGUCAAAGACCGGCCUCUAUUCAUAAGCUGGCACUCGAAAAUAGAGCCCGCGGGGCAUCAGCAGUUGGUGAGGUAAUGGCUCACCAAGGCUUAGACGCCUAGCUGGUCUGAGAGGAUGAUCAGCCACACUGGAACUGAGACACGGUCCAGACUCCUAC